AAUGGAUUUGCAUAAGGCAGAAUAGUCUAGAAUUUAUGAGGAUUCAAGAUAGUUUAAGCUAAGAAUACAAAAAAGCUUUAUAAAUGAGGUUUAGAAAGUUAAGAGAUUCAAUUUUUGCACUUUUCUAUAAUCUUUUAUUCUGAAUCUGCAGCAGAUCAGCUGAGUGCUACUGAAAAUAGAAUAGUAAUCACAGCUCCUGCUCUGACCACCUUUUCUGAUUUGGAAUGGAUCAAUUCUGAUUCCAUUUUGAUUAAAAAGAACUGAGUCAAAGCCAGACAAAAUUACCUCGCACCUGAAUAACCAAUUUAUUUGUGUUCAAUGGUGACUUGAUCUGUGGCAAGAUAGCAAAUAGAAAAUGGUCUGCCUUCUCUCAGAUGUUGUCAGCUGAAAUCAGGGUGAUAGGGUUGAAGCAACAGGAUGAGAGAUCUCAAGCAUGCUGCUAAAUAUUGUAGUCUGACAAAACUAUAUGGCUUCCUUUAUCAAGACAGCUGUGUUUUUACAUAAAUAAUCUUAAUUUGGCCUGCUCAAGGAUUACGCCUUGUACUCCAGCACACUACCUUGAAAGGUCACCUUGACUUCCCCAAGGAGUUUACUUCAAGGCAUUCAGGAUGCCAGUCCAGAAAGCCUCACAGACUGAGGUAGAUAAGAGGGCAGUUCCCUUUGACCAGGAGUACCUGCAGGAGAAGCUUGGACAGAGCUCUGAGGAAGAAUGCAGAAGAACCACAGUCACUGAAAUUCCUGGUCUCCUUAGCAACACAGGCUGCAAAGAGCUCACCAGUCUGGUGUUCUGCUGCAUGCAUGAGCUUCCAAUUCAACUGGAAGAACUUUGGUUUAGGAUUCAGAACUUCCCUUUGACCACUUCAAAAUACUGGUGAGGGAGACUCUUCUUUUGCAUAUGGUCUCAUAAAAGCUAUAAUUUCAAUGUUUAUCCUUGAAAUAUAUAACCAAGAGGAGCUUCUGAGAAAAGAAAAUUUUCGUGGCAGAAGACUGAACAACUUAUUCUGUUCCCCUGCACCAUGACCAUAGAACAAAAUAUCUUAAUACUGCAACUAAAUUCUUUAACAUAGCUCCCCUUAAUAACUUAAAAGGAUGCAAAAAUGUAUACAAGAGUAAUACUGUGUCUUUCCCAAAGCUUCUAGAAACUAAUCAUUUUUCUUCUGUUAUGAGGCAGAAAUGUGAGAAAUCUUACUACAGACACACCCGUCUGUGUCACUGUUGUGA
rnacentral:lncRNA from 1 species